UAGCAUAUCAAUAAGCGGAGGAAAAGAAACCAACAGGGAUUGCCUUAGUAACGGCGAGUGAAGCGGCAAUAGCUCAAAUUUGAAAUCUGGCGCUUUUAGUGUCCGAGUUGUAAUUUGUAGAGGAUGUUUUAGUAUCAGCUCUAGUCUAAGUCCCUUGGAACAGGGUGUCGCAGAGGGUGAGAAUCCCGUACGCGAUUAGUUGCUUUUACUAUGUAAAACUCCUUCGACGAGUCGAGUUGUUUGGGAAUGCAGCUCUAAUUGGGAGGUAAAUUUCUUCUAAAGCUAAAUACUGGCCAGAGACCGAUAGCGCACAAGUAGAGUGAUCGAAAGAUGAAAAGCACUUUGGAAAGAGAGUUAAAAAGUACGUGAAAUUGUUGAAAGGGAAGCGCUUGCAAUCAGACCUGCUUGCAGUUGUUCAUCUAGGCUUUUGGGUCUAGUGUAUUCUUCUGCAAGUCAGGCUAGUAUCAGUUCAGGCGGUUGGAUAAAGAAUUCAGGAAUGUAGCUUCUCUCGGGGAGUGUUAUAGCCUGUUUUGUAAUGCAACCAGCUUGGAUUGAGGACCGCGCUUCGGCUAGGAUACUGGCGUAAUGGUUGUAAGCGGCCCGUCUUGAAACACGGACCAAGGAGUCUAACAUCUGUGCAAGUGUUUGGGUGUAAAACCCAUACGCGUAAUGAAAGUGAACGGAGGCGGGAACCUUUUAGGUGCACCGUCGACCGAUCCUGAUGUCUUCGGAUGGAUUUGAGUAAGAGCAUAGCUGUUGGGACCCGAAAGAUGGUGAACUAUGCUUGAAUAGGGUGAAGCCAGAGGAAACUCUGGUGGAGGCUCGCAGCGGUUCUGACGUGCAAAUCGAUCGUCAAAUUUGGGCAUAGGGGCGAAAGACUAA
rnacentral:rRNA from 1 species